GCAAAACGACAGACAGAGGCCCAUACGGCGGCCAUCUUGAAUACAUCGCCAAAUUGAAGUUUUUUUCUUGGCUCGUCCGUCUUUCCUACAAAAUGAUGUAUAAGGAGCUUUCUUGUCAAAUUUCAAGCUUGCAUCACAAUUUGCACUAAUGCUUCAGAACACAAAAGAGACUCCCAAAUGGCAGCCAUCUUGAAAAAUGGCUGCCAUAUUGAAUUUUUUUUCAGGGCUAACGCUCUUCACUGACAAAGUGACCUGUAAUGGACACAAUUCAGUUUCACCCAAAAUCAGCAUGAAUGGAGAAAUGGAGGAAAGGAAAAUGAGCAGAAAGUCACGAUCUUUGUUUUUCUUCACUCAGGUGGAUGAAAGGUUGCACUUUCUCUGCGAGGAUGUUUGGCUUCGUGGCUAAAGGUACGGAGGCCGGCAUGGAGAACGUGUGCCACGUCUUCGCCGAGUACGACCCCCUGCAGCCCUGCAACGCCGUCCUCCAGGUCGUCCGGGGCGCCGUUCCCAAACCGCCCAGCCCACAAACACAGUGACGUCACAGCCGACGGCUGACGAAGCCAGAUGAAGACAAAACGACUGAACCGUCGCUCGCCUGGUGCCCCCAGCUGGUGGAAAAGCUUCACUGCAUCACCUGAGAGAGCGGUCGGCCAUCUGUGGACGGGAGGGAGGGGUCUCCAUGGAAACCUGAGGCUGGGAGCGGGAGGCUGUCGGACACGACGACUGGUGUUUUUGAAGGUUCUGGUAACCAAACUGAGGAGAAACAGCAGAAACUGAUGCCCGUCUGUUCAUUUCAGUACAGAAACAAACCCUCUUCAGCUCGGAUGUAUUUAUUACCUGCACUGUAAGAAAAGCCUUUUCUGUGUAUCAUCAUGUAUUUUUAUUCUUUUUGUUCUGUUGUGUCUAAAUAGACGUUUAAAAGUG